GUGCUCUCUUCAGCAGUGCAUAUCCUAAAAUUGGAAUGAUAUGGAGAAGAUUAGCAUGGCUGCUAUGCAAGGACGACACAUAAAUUUGUGAAAUGUUCCAUAUAUUC
rnacentral:snRNA from 1 species